rnacentral:rRNA from 1 species
UACGGAGGGGGCAAGCGUUAUUCGGAAUUAUUGGGCGUAAAGGGCGCGUAGGCGGCUAGAUGUGUCAAAGGUGAAAUCCCUCGGCUCAACUGAGGAACUGCCUUUGAAACUGUCUGGCUUGAGGCCGGGAGAGGGUAGCGGAAUUCCCAGUGUAGCGGUGAAAUGCGUAGAUAUUGGGAGGAACACCGGUGGCGAAGGCGGUGGUCUGGGCCGGCACUGACGCUGAGGAGCGAAAGCGUGGGGAGCGAACAGG